GAAUAUUGCGCAAUGGGCGGAAGCCUGACGCAGCGACGCCGCGUGGGGGAUGACGGCUUCGGGUGUAAACUCUUUCAGCAGGGACGAAGCCGUGAGGUGACGGUACCUGCAGAAGAAGCACGGCCAACUACGUGCCAGCAGCCGCGGUAAUACGUAGGGUGCAAGCGUGUCCGGAAUUAUUGGGCGUAAAGAGCUCGUAGGCGGUUUGUCGCGUCGGCUGUGAAAACCCGGAGCUCAACUCCGGGCGUGCAGUCGAUACGGGCAGACUUGAGUGUUGCAGGGGAGACUGGAAUUCCUGGUGUAGCGGUGAAAUGCGCAGAUAUCAGGAGGAACACCGGUGGCGAAGGCGGGUCUCUGGGCAACAACUGACGCUGAGGAGCGAAAGCGUGGGGAGCGAACAGGAUUAGAUACCCUGGUAGUCCACGCCGUAAACGUUGGGCGCUAGGUGUGGGGGCCAUUCCACGGUCUCCGUGCCGCAGCUAACGCAUUAAGCGCCCCGCCUGGGGAGUACGGCCGCAAGGCUAAAACUCAAAGGAAUUGACGGGGGCCCGCACAAGCGGCGGAGCAUGUUGCUUAAUUCGAUGCAACGCGAAGAACCUUACCUAGUCUUGACAUGCGCGGAAAUCUUUCAGAGAUGGAAGGUCCGUAAGGGCCGUGCACAGGUGGUGCAUGGUUGUCGUCAGCUCGUGUCGUGAGAUGUUGGGUUAAGUCCCGCAACGAGCGCAACCCUCGUUCCAUGUUGCCAGCGGAUCAUGCCGGGGACUCAUGGGAGACUGCCGGGGUCAACUCGGAGGAAGGUGGGGAUGACGUCAAAUCAUCAUGCCCCUUAUGUCUAGGGCUGCAAACAUGCUACAAUGGCCGGUACAAAGGGCUGCGAUACCGCGAGGUGGAGCCAAUCCCAAAAAGCCGGUCUCAGUUCGGAUUGGGGUCUGCAACUCGACCCCAUGAAGUUGGAGUCGCUAGUAAUCGCAGAUCAGCAACGCCGCGGUGAAUACGUUCCCGGG
rnacentral:rRNA from 1 species